rnacentral:lncRNA from 1 species
UGUAUUGAGAAUACACAAGUCACGUUGAACAGAAGGGAGAAAAUGCCCAUACCUCACUGCAGGCUAGCAAGAUCACAGCAGUCAUGUAGAUAUGGAAGAGCUGUAGUGGCAUCUUGAACCUCUGCGCCUGAAACACUUGUGGAGUGUCUUAUCUUCAGGCAAAUGCUUCCUUACCUUUGGUCUGAACAGGACUGCGCCCCAGGUUCCAGAAGCAGUAUAGGCAGAGACUUCAAUGUAACACAUGUCAGAAGAAGGUAUUCAUGGAUGAUGGCCUGGGGAACAAACAAACACAGAAGCACUCCUUGAGUUUCUUCUCCCAUAGGAGAGGCUGUGGGAUUAUUUGUGUGCGCUAAACCUGGUAGAGUGGAGCUACAUCCCGAUUUCCAGCCUGUGCAAUCCGUAUUGCCAAACAUCAAAGCUGGUGGAGCUCUGCCAAGCCUGGCCCAGUUGCCCUGUCCACCUGGUGACAUUCUUCAUAGGAAUCCUGCUAUGCGGGAAUAUACUUUAAAAUGGUUAAUUAUGUUUGGAAUUAUUGUGUAAGUGAAAAAUGUGUCUUAUUUCCAUUACUGUCGAACACAUGCUGUUAGGGGCUUCCAGUUCAUUGCGAUUCUGGGACUGAGUCUAGAUUAAGCAGGUGCAGAAAAU